rnacentral:other from 1 species
UUCACCCUGCGGUGUUGGUGCUAGCCCUCUAUGUUUUGAUCCAACACUUUUUUCUCGGGAGCUUGGCGUCUCUACCUGUACAAAUGCCUCCAGUCUUUGGACUGUGUGGACUUGAUACGUGGCUGAGCAGGGCACCCACCUGCGAUAGCAGGUUCAAAACUCUAGGGUUCACGGCAGAGCGGGGUCACC